UACCCGGCGCCUCCACCAAAACCCGUGCGUUAUCAGGAGUUUCGCGGGCUUCGGUGGGGGCGAAAUUAGGAUCGACGAGGGUGUAAAGGUCGCGUUUUCGCUCGGCAUGGUUCCGCCGUUAUCGGGCCGUAACAGUAGUUGCAAACGACAACUCUGCUCCGGUUGCUCUGGCUGCGUAAGGCAGUCUGAAACACCGAAAACAAGUCCCGGCGGCUAGCCCCGUCAGGCGGGGUCCGGAGGCACCUGGCAACAGAAGCCUCCACU
rnacentral:tmRNA from 1 species